rnacentral:tRNA from 1 species
AUUUAAAUAGCUUAUGUAGAGCAUAAUAUUGAAGAUAUUAAGGAGAUUGAGUAGUCUUUAAAUG